AGAAGGGAGAGCUCUGCUCCUGGGACCCCCGGGCCGGACCUCCUCGGUCCCAGGAAUUGACAUCCUCCUAUGUCCUGUGUGCCACCUGCCCAUCUAGAAGGCCCCCUUUUUCCCCCCUGACACAGUACCCCUGCCUCCCCGGCCCAGGCUGACUGUGGAACCUCAUGGGCAAGUCCCUAGAGAGUUAACCAUCUGCUCAUCUCGAAGUUAAAAAAACUGACCUAUAUCUGUCCUUAAAACUGUAAACCUAGAAUAGAAACUGGCUCCUACCGCCCUCUCAAUGAGUGUAGUACCUGGCAAAGUCAAAAGGAUUUUGACUUUUAGCAAUGCAAAUGAAAUAUUGAAACUGAUGCGCAACAAAACAUGCAAGUUACAGGCAAAAGCAGUGUUAAUUACCACAGCGACCAAUGAGUAGUCACGUGUGGCUAUGUACAUUUAAAUAAUUCCGUUCCUCCAGGGGACUAGCCACAUUUCAAGUGUUCAAGAGCUAAGUGCGGCUACCUUAUUGGACAUCACAGAAAAGGACAUUUCUGUCAUCCAGAAAAUUCUAUUGGACAGCUCCUAGCUGAAAGAUUAUAGGAUUAAGCGUAAAUCUCCAAUAAUAUAGUAUAAAUCUAUAGAUUUAUGUAUAGGCGGUCUGGGGAUAUAAUACUGGAAUCGGACCCUGAAUUAUCCGUUGGAAUUUUGACUGUAGCUCUUUGAUGGUAACGGCAGGAGGCAAGAGGACUUUAGGGGCUGAAUAGAACUUGGUUUUGUUUUCAUGGUCCUUGAGGCUUCCACCCAAGAGAAUUCUUCGUAUAACCUGAGGAAGUUCUUCAUUUAAGAAGUAACCAGAACUACAUGCCUAUCAAAUCAUAUCUCUAAAGGUCAGAGGCUAAAAUACAUCUGGAAGAACCUCAACAGGAUAGCUAAAAAUGAAGUUUAAGAAAUUCCAGGCCAGGCACAGUAGCUCAUAUCUGUAAUCCCAGCACUUUGAGAGGCUGAGGUGGGCGGAUCACCUGAGGUUAGGAGUUAGAGACCAACCUGGCCAACGUGGAGAAGACCCAUCUCUGCUAAAAAUACAAAAAUUAACUGGGCAUGGUGGCAGACACCUGUAGUCCUAGGUGGCUGGGACUUAGGAGGCUGAGGCAGGAGACUAGCUUGGACCUUGCAGUGAGCCAAGAUGGUGCCACCACACUCCAGCCUAGGCACAGAGCAACUCCGUCUCAAAAACAAAACAAAUAAACAAAAACAAAUACUAGCUAAUUCAAUCCUCACACCAACCCCAUUUAUAUGAUUAUCCCCAUUUUACAGAUAAGGAAACUGAAGCACAGAGAUGUGAAGAAACUUACCCAGUCACACAGCUGGUAGGAAGCUUAGUGAACACCAUCAUUAUCAAGAGACAUGCAGUACCUGAACCCUUUCUAUGGCAACAUAUGGAAUAUGGGGCAUUGAGUCCUCAGGGAUGGUAUACAUGAAUUUACAGAAUCCAGAUGUCAUUUUGUAGCUUGGCUUUAGCAAAGUAAAUUUCCUUGCUGGUCCUCUACUUCCAUAGCAACAACCAGUGACACCCACAGCGGCUCCAACAGACCUUGAUGUUAGACUUUCUGGCUCCUGGAGACCAUCCAGAAGGCCAAGUGCAGCUCACCAAGGCUAUAAUGGCCAAGCUUGGACUUGGAGUCCUGAUACUUGAUACCAUCAUUUCCAGCUGUGGGCAUAGGUAAGUUCCUUCGCUUCCCCAGGCCUUGGUUUCCUCUUCUGUAAUGUGGGGAUUAUAAUAUUAAUAGGCCUGGCUGGGGUGCCCUGCCCAGAUCCCCUUCACCAUGAGGGAUAACCAUCUUCUGGUUGCUGCUGCUUUUUUUUUUAAGAGAGUGAGGAGGUCUUGCUCUGUUGCCCAGGCUGGAGUGAAGUGGUGCCAUCAUAGCUUACUGAAGGCUUGAACUGCUGGGCUCAAGUUACCCUCCUGUCUCAGCCUCCCAAAGUACUGGGAUUAUAGGCAUGAGCUACUAUACUCUGCCUGUUUCUUGAGGCCUGGUGGCUGACGGUUCAUUGCUGCCCCUUCUCCAGAGAAUGGCCUUAGGUUGAAUGGGAGCUCCCCUCCCCUAAGGAGUUAUGACUGUCCCUCCCUCGGUCCUAGGAGCAAUGGCUAUCAUCGCCUUCAGGUCAGACUAACUGCCUCAAGGUGAGAAUAAUUUCGUGGUACAACUCAGGCUCCAGAGUUUUCUGUGAGAAGAGAUUGAACUACAGGAACACUACCUCAGUCUCCCGAUAGCUGGACCCCUUGUGUCCAGCACUGCUUCUAAUAGUUCCCCUCACUUUCUAUCUCUGUGUUUUGGAAGAGGGAGUUCAAUCCAUGGAUUUCUCUGGGAGGAAACCAGGUUGGAAACCAGGUUGCUCUGUAUAAGCUGAGACCACCAGAAACCUUCACCCAUCACCUUGCCUUGCUUUUGCAUCCUAGUAGAGGUUUCAAAAGGCUUCAGGUUGUUUGAGGCAGACACCAGGAACGUGUCUUGCUCUCUAUGGGAAUCCAUCUCAGCUAAUUCAGUAAUAGAAUCAGCUAUUCUCAAGGCAUAAAGGCUGGGAGUGAAUGGGGGCUAGCCCUCUGCUCCAUCAGCCUCUUAACUGGUCCCUGAGCCUUUGGUCUUGAUCACUCAAUCUAUUGUCCACACUGACUCCAGAAUCUACGUUUUUUUUUUGAGGGGGGUGGAACAAGGUCUCACUCUUCACCCAAGCUGGAGUACAGUGGCAUGAUUAUGGCUCACUGCUGCCUCAACCUCCCAGGCUCAAGCAAUCCUUACACCUUAGCCUCCUGAGUAGCUGAGACUACAGGUGUACACCACCACACCCAGCUAUUUUUUUUUAUUUUUUGCCCAGGCUGGCAACAUUGCAAGACCAAGUCUCUACAAAAAAAUGAAAAAAAAAAUUCACUAUAUGAAAAAGAUAAACAAAAUUAAAAGGCAUAAAACCAGGAAAAUAUUUGCAUCUCAUAGGUCAGGUUAGUAAAGAACUUUCCCUGUUAAAUAAAAUAGCUUUACAAUACAAGAAAGGGCAAAGGCCAAUCAGAAGCAAUUCAUCACAUAUAAAAUAUAAGGCACUAAAAAUUUAAAAAUAUUCAACUUCAUUAGUAAUAAAAAUGCAAAUAAAGUAAUCAAAAUGCAAAUUAAAACAAGAUGCUAUUUAUCACAUAACAAAUUGGAAAACUUUUUUUUUAAAGACAAAGUUUCGCUUUGCUCUCCAGGCUGGAGUGCAGUGGCACCACCUUGCCUCACUGCAACCUCCGCCUCCUGGGUUCAAGUGAUUUUCCCAUCUCAGCCUCCCAAGUAGCUGGGACUGCAGGUGCAUGCCACCAUACCCAGCUAAUUUUUGUAUUUUUAUUAGAGACAGGGUUUCAUGAUGUUGGCCAGGCUGGUCUUGAACUACUAACCUUAAAUGGUUCUCCCACCUCAGGCUCCCAAAGUGCUGGGAUUACAGGAAUGAGCCACUGUGCCUGGCCCAGAAAACAUUUUUAAAAGGUAACACUGUUGGUAGAAUUGUAAACUAGCACAACUUCUCUAGAAAGGGAUUUGAUGGCAUCAAUAAUAAGAAGAUAUAUAUGGCCAAUGAAAAGAUUGUCAACAUUAGUCUUUCGUGAAAUGCAAAAAAAGCCAUAUUAACUUACCUCUUCACCAGCCUACCAGAAUAGCUAAAAUUAAAGACUGCCAAUACCAAGUAUUGACGAGGUCGGGAGCAACUGGAUCUCUCACACAUUGCUGGUGGGACAGUAAAAUGGUACAAUUAUUUUGGAAAACAGUUUGGACUUUUCUCAUGAAGUUAAAUAUAAUCUACUGUAUGACCCAGUAAUUCUACUCUUACAUAUUUUACCCAAAAGCAAUAAUAAUCCACAGAGUGGAUUACUAUUCAGCUAAUAAAAGAAAAACAAUUACUGAUACAGGCAACAGUAUUAAUGAAUCUCUAAAAUACAUUACAUUGAGCAAAAGAAGCAAGCCACAAAAUGGUAUCUACUGUAUGAUUUCACCUGUAUAGGAAAAAUGGCUGCAUGAUGUAUGAUUGCAUGGAACAGUUGACAAAUACCAUAUUUUAGAUUAGAAAAAUAUUUGAUGACAUGAGAAAAGCCUCAGGAGAUAUCAAAAAGUGAAAAAACUAAAAUAUAACCAUAUAUAGUGGAGA